UACGAAGGGGGGCUAGCGUUGUCCGGAUUUACUGGGCGUAAAGCGCACGUAGGCGGUUUGUUAAGUCAGGGGUGAAAUCCCGGAGCUCAACUCCGGAACUGCCCUUUGAUACUGGCAAGCUAGAGUCCGGAAGAGGUAAGUGGAACUCCUAGUGUAGAGGUGGAAUUCGUAGAAUAUUAGGAGAACACCAGUAGGCGAAGGCGGCCUU
rnacentral:rRNA from 1 species